CAGGUGUGAGCCACUGUGCCCGGCCUAUGCCUCAAUUUCUUCCUGCCUUCCUAUAGUUAUGUCAUAUUUAUUUAAUUCUCUAAGUCCCUCCUCAACAGAUUUUAUUCUACUACUGAAAUCCAGUCUGCAGAAACUAAAAGUUGUAUAGUGGAUAUGAAAUUUAUAUAACCACCAUAGUUCAGUAUCUCAGGGGUAAAAAUAAACUGUGACUAUUUAUUUCCACAAAACUGAACCUAUCAAUUCAAGAUAACUUUUGCUUUAAAACUCACGACUCCUUGAAUCAAUAGUCAAUUUCUGGAUCUUUCUCCUCCUCCUAGGGCGUCUUCUCCCUGAAGGCUGUCACAGUUCCUGUGCAGAGAGCGAGGGCACUGCAGCACCCAGGCGCUGACUGCCUUUUGUCAGUCUCAUUUGCAGGCCCCCAGCUGGAGAACCCAGGAGGAAGAGGAAAAAAGUUUUUCCUCCUCUACACUCCCCAUGCAUGACUAAAGAGUAGGAGGAGUGAGCAAGGCAGACAUAUAUAGUACCCAGGAGGUGGACAAACAACUGCCUUGGUGGAAACUCUGACCUUUCUGGGCUUAUCCUGGUGCCACUGAGACUGUGCAGGUCCCACACUUACGGGGAAAGCAUCACCUGAAAGUGAGAACACCUA
rnacentral:sRNA from 1 species